rnacentral:rRNA from 1 species
UACGGAGGUUGCAAGCGUUGUUCGGAUUUACUGGGCGUAAAGGGAGCGCAGGCGGUUAGGGCAGUCUGAAGUGGAAGCCCGGGGCUCAACCCUGGAAGGCCUUUGGAUACUGCGUAACUUGAGUUCGUGAGAGGAAAGCGGAAUUCCAGGUGUAGCGGUGAAAUGCGUAGAUAUCUGGAGGAACAUCGAUGGCGAAAGCAGCCUUCUGGCACGAUACUGACGCUGAGGCUCGAAAGCGUGGGGAGCGAACAGG